UCGUCCCCCGCCCGUCUUCCACAGAAUGUAGAGUCACAGCAUGUUAAGGAUUGGAAGGGGCCUCAGAGCCCAUCUCGUCCCAACGCCCCUGCCCUGGCAGGGACACUUCCCACCGGAGCAGCUUGCUCAAGGCCUUAAACACUGCCGGGGCUGGGGCACCCACAGCUUCUCUGGGCAACCUGUUCCACUACCUCACCACCCUCACAGUAAAGAAUUUUUUCCUAAUAUCUAACUGAAAUUUCCCCUCUUUCAAUUUGUUCUCAUUAAUCCUUGUGCUUCCAAGGCAUCGCUAUCACUAAAGUUCCUGGCAAGAACUUUAUGUCAUUUGUGGGUGUUUCUCUGUGUGUUAGUUGGGAAUAUGCUUUCACAAUGCCAAGGAAGCAGAAAACAAGUCCCAUGACAUUGGCCUGGGUGCUCAAUAAAACUGUAGUGGAUUCAGUGUGGGGAUGAGCUUGUGGAAGGGUCCCUGCCAGAGCUGCCCACCUCCACUUGGGUUCAUCUGGGGAUGCUUUAAUGUGUGUUUUGCUGCAAACGGUGCUUGGACUGCUUGGUGUUGAGUUUUCCAGCUGGCACCAGCUGUGUGCCAGACGGGGCUCGGUGUGUUCGUACACUGACAUUUUGAGACUUCAUCUGGAAGCUGGUCCGAGGAAGCUGAGUUCUGCCACUGGUAGUGCUGCAGUCAGAUUCUACUGACCCUGACUGGGGAAACUAGCAAGGAGUUCAUGUUACCACCCCAAGGCUUUGCAGCGGGUGCCUAAUCCACUAGAUGCCACUGAUUUAUCAGCUUCUUCUGUUGUCCUUCUGUGUCUGACACAUUUACUCAUGCUUAUUCUGAGUAUGAAUUUUUCAGCUUCAGACCAAGCUGGAUAUUGCUGAAUUAUGGUAUAGAAGUGUGUCUACAGGAAGCAAUUAACAGAAAUUGGAUAUACCAUUCUUCCCAAGACCAAAUGAGAAACAGCAUACAUUGUGGAAGAUACUCCUCUGGAAAUCAUAAUUCUAUACUGUUCUUGUUGAGCAGGAAGACUGCCUGUAAUCUUGCUUGAAAUGUGCUUGUAAAUUUUAUCCAUUGGUAGCAAAGGCAUCCCAGUGUUAAUGGCGAGAGAAAGCAGCUGGACAGUGAAAAAAUGGCUGCCAAGCACACAGUAGAAGGCACUUCAGACUGUGCCUGAAAGAAUUAAAACAAAAAAUAAACGUAGUGUGGGAGGAAGAUAUUAAACUCACUGAGGAAGCAGUGGCUUAAGUCUUCAUCCAAAGAAAACAGCCUUUUUUAUUCCUCUCAAGGUCUGUGGGGUCAAUCUGUGUCUUUGCUUGUCAGUGUAUAGUUCUUACAGUUUGCAUGUCUAUGAAUAAAAUAUUUUGGACUCCAUGUGUGAAAACGGUUGCCUGGUAUAGUAGAAUUUUGGGGAGAGGUGUUAUAAGGAUUGCUUAUGUUUAUAUCUAUUGGGCCUUUAGAUAAACUUCAAAGAUAACAUAUGGAACAUUGGUUUUCGAAUUCAACAGACACAGAUCUACUCUUAACGCCUGGGUUUAGUAGCAGCUUCCCAGGAGGGAAUAAUCUCUCUGAUGUCUGGUUCACUUGGAGGCUUGAGGAAAGAAAUUUCUUGUUUCAAACUUCACAGAAGCAGACAUGAAUUAAGGAAUUUUUUGACCCAAGGCACUCUCCAUCCAGCCUGUUUUAUGAUAUAUAUUAAUCAAAGUAGCUCAGGGAUCCCCGUCUUUUAACAGUGAUACAAAAAUACAGAAAUCACCAUUUGUAGAAAACUCUGUAUCUAGAAAUCUGCAUAGAAAAAAAAAUUUUUUUCAGUGCUUGGAAAAAUAAUCUAAUCAUACUGACCUUUGAUUGAAUUAUUUUCUACCCGGCAAGUAGUAACAGUAUUUGCAAACUACACUUGUAUCUCAUAGUAUGAAAAAGUAUUAUUAUUAGCAGUACAGUCAGAGUCUGGUUAUCAGUGUCAUCUGUGGAAUUUCUGGGGAAAAAGCCUUACUUUAUUUGCAGACUGAUAUAUUUCAAGGUUAAUUAGAUCUCUAAAGUGUAAGGCCAAAAAUAAAGUUAUGUUUAAAGUUAUGUGUUAUUUCCAAGCCCCACUUGGAAAUUAAAGAGAUAAAAUUGUCUAGUAUUUCAGGUAGUUACUGAAUUAUAUAAUGUACUCUGAGUACAGUAGUGCACUACACUGCUUAGAGCUGAUGGCUAUUUUGUCUGGAGUAUUUAAUUUUAAAUGCAAACCUAAAGGAUAAGGAAGGAAGAAAAAGCUAAGAAAAGCAAGAGAAAAAAAAAAGAAUCAAAUUUUGCAUCAGAUAAAAUUUGUUUUUCCAGUAAUUACUUAGAUAGGUCUCUAGUUAGGCUUUGUCUUUUGUGUCUCAAAAGGAAAGUAGAAUGUAAGCAAGAAGUUUCACUUCAGGGAGAGUUAAUUAUUGAAAUGAUUAAUACAAGUGUCUGGAUACCAGGUAGCCACCAAAGCUUCCCUGUCACUCCCCUCCUCAACUGGACAGAGAAGAGGAAAUACAAAGAAAGACUUGUGAGUUGAGAUAAGGAUGGGGAGAGAUCUCUCACCAGUUACAGUCAUGGACAAAACAGAUUCAACUUGGAAAAAUUAAUUAGUCGAAUUUAUUACCAAUAAAAUCAGAUUAAGUUAAUGAGAAAAUAAAAAUAAAUCUUAAAAACACCUUCCCUCCACCCCUCCCUUUUCUUGUGCUCAACUUUACUCUUGAUUUCUCUGCCUCCUCCUCUACAGUGACUUAGGGGGCUGAGGAAUUUGGACUUGGUCAUUACAUCAUAUGUCUCUGCUGUUCCUUUCUCCUCAAAGAACUCCUCACUCUUCCCCUGCUCUGUCAUGGAGUCUCUUCAAUAGGAGACAGUCCAACAUCAGCUAUCUAAGUUAUCCCAGAGGUGUUGGCACUAUUGCUGAUGGGCUCAACCUUGGCCAGCAGUGGGUCCAUCUUGGAGCCAGCUUGGAUUGGGUCUGUGGGACGUGGAGGAAGCUUCCAGCAGAUUCUCACAGAAGCCACCCCAGCAGUCCCACUGCUAUCAAAAUGUGCCCAAGAAAACCCAAAAGAGCAACCAGUCAUUGGACUGAGGCCAGAGCUUCUAGCAUAAGCUGAAACUUGGAUCUUUGGGCACAAUAAAAUAGAGUGCCAGAGGGGGAAAAAAACCCUAUAGUUCUGAAAAGAUGUACCACCUUCUUUCAAGUCAAAUAAAUCAAAGAAACUGCAGUCAUGUUGCUCUGGAAAACACUGCCAUUGCCCUAUUCUUUGGAUCCUUUGUAGGUGCAUUUUACUGUCAAAGUUAUCCAUAGGCCAAAACAUUCAGGUUGAUUUAGAUUGAAAGUACUUUGUUGUUCUUUGUACACAGAUAACAGGGAGGAUAAAUGUGGGAUGAGAAUAGCUGCAAAGGAAAUUUGGGCUCAUUCAAUGUGUCUUUGGUACUUUAUGGCAUGCACUCGAAGCUUUUCAAAUUUUAACUCCUGUCAUCUUAACAUAGCCUGUAAUUAUUCCUCAGGGUAUGUCAAUUAUUCAAUGCCUUUUUAAAGCAACUUAUAAGCCAUCAUUGACAAUUUUAUGAUUUGAGUUCUAUCAGCAUUAAAGUUACUGAUUUUUUUUCUCUUCAAUGAAUAUUUCCCAAUAACUUGAUGAGUUAAUUUAUUAUUUGUAUACUUAUGCUUUACUAGAAAAAAUAUUAUCUACAAAACCUUACAUAAAUUUGGUACACAUUAAACUGAAAAUUAGACAAGUUGUGCUUCUUUGUUUUGGCUUAAGUGCCAUUGUUUGUAUUCUUGAGGUAGUGGAAGGCACUGUGUUGCAAUUUAAUAUGAUCACAAACUGCAAAUUGUUGAUUAGAAAUGUUUUACUGCACUGAAAGCUUAUUCUCAAGACAGAUACACUUGGUGGCAUGUGAAUAUUGUUGAGUAAGCAGCAUUUUGCUACACUCUUGCAAAGCAAUGGCUGCUCUGUUUCCUAUAACUGGAAUUGGGAAAACUCCCUUAUGGGAGAACUAAAAUUGCUUACUGGUGUAUGCGCUUGUGUACUACACAUCACAUGUUUUGCAUGAACUUUCUCCUCUUCUCCCUUCUCUAAAGUAGAUCUUUGAACUUUCAUCAGCCUAGGACAGAACCAGUAAUAGUCAAAAUGUGUGGGUUUGGCUGAUGGGCGCUGGUACAUGUGGUUAAGAACCAUGUAACUCUGCUAAGAGCUCUUGGAGGAAAUUGCCCCUUUUGGAUUAUUUUAUUGCCUGUACUGGGGUGGCCAGUGAGGGGUACUUCUGGUUGACACCCAGUGGUGACUCGCUUUCCAUUCACUUUUCUUUGCUAUUGUUAUACUCAUAAAAAUGU